AUACACCUGUUCCCAUUCCGAACACAGAAGUUAAGCUCUCUAGCGCUGAUGGUACUUGGUGGGAAACUGCCUGGGAGAGUAGGACGUAGCCACGUA
rnacentral:rRNA from 1 species